rnacentral:tRNA from 1 species
CAAACUAUAGCAUAUAUUAAUGCUUUUUAUUUACAAUAAAAUGAAAAUUUAUAUUUAGUUUGU